AGAAAGAGUCGGCUACAUGCA
rnacentral:siRNA from 1 species